rnacentral:rRNA from 1 species
GACGAACGCUGGCGGCGUGCUUAACACAUGCAAGUCGAACGGAAAGGCCCUUUCGGGGGUACUCGAGUGGCGAACGGGUGAGUAACACGUGGGUGAUCUGCCCUGCACUUCGGGAUAAGCUUGGGAAACUGGGUCUAAUACCGGAUAGGACUACUGGGUGCAUGCCUGGUGGUGGAAAGCUUUUGCGGUGUGGGAUGGGCCCGCGGCCUAUCAGCUUGUUGGUGGGGUGAUGACCACCAAGGCGACGACGGGUAGCCGGCCUGAGAGGGUGUCCGGCCACACUGGGACUGAGAUACGGCCCAGACUCCUACGGGAGGCAGCAGUGGGGAAUAUUGCACAAUGGGCGGAAGCCUGAUGCAGCGACGCCGCGU